rnacentral:rRNA from 1 species
UACAGAGGUCUCAAGCGUUGUUCGGAUUCAUUGGGCGUAAAGGGUGCGUAGGUGGUCGGGUAAGUCUGACGUGAAAUCCCGCAGCUUAACUGCGGAAUGGCAUUGGAUACUAUUCGGCUAGAGGGUUGGAGGGGGGACUGGAAUUCUCGGUGUAGCAGUGAAAUGCGUAGAUAUCGAGAGGAACACCAGUGGCGAAGGCGAGUCCCUGGACAACUCCUGACGCUGAGGCACGAAAGCUAGGGGAGCAAACAGG